UGGGCCCAACUACAAAGAGAUUAUCUAAAUAUGUGAGGGAUAUGCUACACCAUAGUGUUUGUUGAACAAUCUGUUGAUGAUGACAGGUAAGAAAGUAUCUUCUUACAGCUUUAUAAUUUUCUAGAUUUUUAAAUAUGUUUUUUUUUAUUUUUUACAUAAAAUCAUCUGCAUCAAAAUUGAAGUGUACAAAUAAAAUAUAUUGGAUGUCUAAGUACGAAAUUAUUUUAUGAAAAAAAAACGUAUAAAUAAGUGGCAAAUUUGUUAGUUAUUUUGGUAAACAAUAAUAUUUUUCAUUAUAAGACAAAAUUCUAGUUUAUAAUUAUAUUUGUAUUUUUAUAGUCAUUAUAUCAAUACUAAUACUUUUUUCUUUUUUGUAUCAAACUUCUAGGGAAUAUUUAUCGAAAAUCUGAAUCCAAUUAUAUCUUCCUUCACCAUAAAGUCAAGAAAAUUUUGGAAAAUCGAAAAAAGAAAUAAAUAUAUGGGCAUGGAUAGGAGUAGAAGAUAAAAUUUUGAGAUAUUAGUAGCAGCUAUCAAAUUAUUUUGGUUUUUGAAAUAGCUACUCGCUACGGUUAAAACUAUGUUGGAUGUUCCUUCUUGCAAGAAUUUGAAGAUGGGAGGCAGUUGUGUAGCGAUGGACUUACAAAAAAUAGAUAUGCUCAGAAAAUCACAUAAUUUAGGUGUAAAGAUAUAAAAAUCUUAAGAUAGCAGAAAAAUUAAUGCAAUAUGUAUAAGCCGAAUGAAACAAGGUAACUAUUAAUGUUGCUGAUUCUACAAUUUUAAUGGAAUGUUAUAAAACGUAGUAUGAACAUGAUAUGGAGCUACAGCAUUUAAAAA